GGUCGCUUAGCUCAGUUGGUUAGAGCGUGGUGCUAAUAUUCAUUCCUUGAAACGCCAAGGUCGCGAGUUCGACCCUCGUAGUGACCA